GAUGAACGCUGGCGGCGUGCUUAACACAUGCAAGUCGAACGGAAAGGCUCCUGCUUGCAGGGGUACUCGAGUGGCGAACGGGUGAGUAACACGUGGGUGAUCUGCCCUGCACUUCGGGAUAAGCCUGGGAAACUGGGUCUAAUACCGGAUAGGACGAUGGUUUGGAUGCCAUUGUGGAAAGUUUUUCGGUGUGGGAUGAGCUCGCGGCCUAUCAGCUUGUUGGUGGGGUAAUGGCCUACCAAGGCGUCGACGGGUAGCCGGCCUGAGAGGGUGUACGGCCACAUUGGGACUGAGAUACGGCCCAGACUCCUACGGGAGGCAGCAGUGGGGAAUAUUGCACAAUGGGCGCAAGCCUGAUGCAGCGACGCCGCGUGGGGAAUGACGGCCUUCGGGUUGUAAACUCCUUUCGCUAGGGACGAAGCGCAAGUGACGGUACCUGGAGAAGAAGCACCGGCUAACUACGU
rnacentral:rRNA from 1 species